rnacentral:rRNA from 1 species
GACGGAGAAUUAGGGUUCGAUUCCGGAGAGGGAGCCUGAGAGACGGCUACCACAUCUAAGGAAGGCAGCAGGCGCGCAAAUUACCCAAUCCUGACUCAGGGAGGUAGUGACCAGAAAUAACGACGACGGGUUUCGAUUCGUCGAUUGCAAUGAGCACAAUGUAAAAUUCUUAGCGAGUACCGACUGGAGGGCAAGUCUGGUGCCAGCAGCCGCGGUAAUUCCAGCUCCAGUAGCGUAUAUUAAAGUUGUUGCAGUUAAAAAGCUCGUAGUUGGACGUCUCUGCGACACGCAGCUCCGCCACGCAACUAGAUACGUUCUUAACUGAACGGUCUAGACCUGCGGGCCCUUUACCCUGAGGAAACUAGAGUGUUUAAGGCAGGCUGAGCCUGAAUACUGCAGCUGGGAAUAAUGCGCACGACUGUCUUGGCGAGGCAGCUCCACACUUUUAAUAGGAACAGUUGGGGGCAUUCGUACUCAGCAGUCAGAGGUGAAAUUCUUGGAUUUGCUGAAGACGGACUAAUGCGAAAGCAUUUGCCAAGGAUGUUUUCAUUAAUCAAGAACGAAAGUUAAGGGAUCCAAGACGAUCAGAUACCGUCCUAGUCUUAACCAUAAACGAUGCCGACUAGGGAUCGGGGGAGACGCACAAACUCUCUCGGCACCUCACGAGAAAUCCAAGUCUUUGGGUUCUGGGGGGAGUAUGGUCGCAAGACUGGAACUUAAAGGAAUUGACGGAAGGGCACCACAAGGAGUGGAGCCUGCGGCUUAAUUUGACCCAACACGGGGAAACUUACCAGGUCCAGACAUAGUGAGGAUUGACAGAUUGACAGCUCUUUCUUGAUCCUAUGGGUGGUGGUGCAUGGCCGUUCCUAGUUGGUGGAGUGAUCUGUCUGGUUAAUUCCGAUAACGAACGAGACCUCAGCCUGCUAACUAGAUCUUCUUAGAGGGACUUCCUGCUCGCGUGGGAGGAAGUGAGGCAAUAACAGGUCUGUGAUGCCCUUAGAUGUCCUGGGCCGCACGCGCGCUACACUGACGCAACCUGCAAGUUCCAAGCCUGUCAAGGUCUGGCAAACUGCCAACUGCGUCGUAGUUGGAACUGACCCUUGCAAUUCUUGGUCACAAACCAGGAAUUCCUAGUAAGCGCAAGUCAUCAGCUUGCACUGACUAAGUCCCUGCCCUUUGUACACACCGCCCGUCGCUCCUACCGAUUCCGAGUGAUCAGGUGAACCUCUCGGACCCUGGAAGUUAAGUGAACCUUAUCACUUAGAGGAAGGAGAAGUCGUAACAAGGUA